rnacentral:rRNA from 1 species
AACGAACGCUGGCGGCGUGGAUAAGACAUGCAAGUCGGACGCUGAUUGCUGGGUAGCAAUAUUCGGCGGUCGGAGUGGCGAAAGGGUGCGUAACACGUGGGCAAUCUGCCGUGAAGUCGGGGAUAACUUGCUGAAAGGCGAGCUAAUACCGGAUGUGGUUUUGGGAGGGCAUCUUUCUGGAACCAAAGUUGGGGACCGCAUGGCCUGACGCUUCAUGAUGAGCCCGCGGCCUAUCAGCUAGUUGGUGAGGUAAUGGCUCACCAAGGCAAAGACGGGUAGCUGGUCUGAGAGGACGACCAGCCACACUGGAACUGAGACACGGUCCAGACACCUACGGGUGGCAGCAGUCGAGAAUUUUCACAAUGGGCGAAAGCCUGAUGGAGCGACGCCGCGUGGGGGAUGAAUGGCUUCGGCCCGUAAACCCCUGUCAUUUGCGAACAAACCUUUCCACCCAACACGUGGAGAGCUGAUUGUAGCGAAAGAGGAAGGGACGGA